GACGAACGCUGGCGGCGUGCUUAACACAUGCAAGUCGAACGGAAAGGCCCUGCUUUUGUGGGGUUCUCGAGUGGCGAACGGGUGAGUAACACGUGAGUAACCUGCCCUUGACUUUGGGAUAACUUCAGGAAACUGGGGCUAAUACCGGAUAGGAGCUCCUGCUGCAUGGUGGGGGUUGGAAAGUUUCGGCGGUUGGGGAUGGACUCGCGGCUUAUCAGCUUGUUGGUGGGGUAGUGGCUUACCAAGGCUUUGACGGGUAGCCGGCCUGAGAGGGUGACCGGCCACAAUGGGCCUGAGAUACGGCCCAGACUCCUACGGGAGGCAGCAGUGGGGAAUAUUGCACAAUGGGCGGAAGCCUGAUGCAGCAACGCCGCGUGCGGGAUGACGGCCUUCGGGUUGUAAACCGCUUUCGCCUGUGACGAAGCGUGAGUGACGGUAAUGGGUAAAGAAGCACCGGCUAACUACGUG
rnacentral:rRNA from 1 species